rnacentral:lncRNA from 1 species
AUGGUACAGAAAUUAGGGCUCCACAGCUUCAACCUCUCAGAUGGCUCCUGUAAGCCACUCUCAUCCGCUCUUGCCAGGAACUCCAGCCUUUGGCAUCUGAAUCUGUCUGGGAAUAUUUUCACUGACCAGUGUGCUGCUGACACGAAGAUCCUCAUCCAGAGGUGUCCCAACCUCACUGAAAUCUGGCCGGGCUUGAAUGACUUCACCCUUGCAGUGGAGUGGCAGCUGAAGAACCUGCAGAGAGAAGGGCUGAAGAUGGUUUUUUGCAGUAGCUCUCUGGCAAGGCGCUGGUGCUCUGCUUGGGAAACCAUACAGAGCUGGGCAACGUGAGCUCUUGUCUGCCACAGCGAGCCCGGAGCUGCAUUUUGUAGCACAUACACGGGCAAGAAGCUUGUACAACGAGAGGCUCACUAACAGGCAGGCUCUGAUGAAUGGCAGCAGAUUGCUCACCUGCUUGGACCCUUUCUGCUGCCAGUCUGUGUCCUGUGGCUUCUUUCUUGGGGUGAUGGCAGCAACCUUUUUGGCUUGCUGCUGGCAUGACAGGACACUGAGGAAAGGGAUUGGCAGAAGGAACUGUGGCUGAAUGUUCAGGCACCCUCGCCGUGUCCAAGCCUUCCCGAAGGGAGGAAGGAAGCUGAGACAUGGUAUAUGGAGCACCCCAGUGUCAGCAUGGAGCGGUAACACCCAGAUAAGGAAGCUGAUCCAGUGCAAGGCAUAAUUACUUUGACUGCAGCCCAAAAGGGGCGGCAGAAGCCAGAAGGCCUUGCCUUGGCCCAGGGCACAUGUUUAUGUGCCAGUGCCAUCUGAUGUGAUGCAAGAGCCAUCUCCUUAUUGCUAUCCUCGAGGCAGCCUGUUUGAUACCUGCCUGCUCCGUAUCUGUCCUCUUCCUCAUGCUGAGGGGCUCAGGCUCCCACUGAGUUACUGUAGUGGUUGAGGUGCCAUUGGCUUUAGGGUUGGGAGCACCUUGCCAGUGGAUUCCCCACUUUGCCGGUCCCCAGGGAGGUGGCUGCAGGGCUCUGUGAAUGGACAGGCGGGCCGGGGGCCGAGGAGGCGUGAAGGUUGCUGGAGGAGAAUGAGUGCUCAGGGAAGGUGAGGCUGCAGGUUUGAGGGCUUCUUUAGCCUCCCUGUAGGCCCAGCAUCUCCCCUUUGCUCUUGCAAACAGGGUGCACGACCC